AUUGCAUGUCCAUGGGCCGGCUGGCGCGUCUGGAGCAGAUGGCGCGCAGUGGAGACCGCCAGGAGCUGGGGCUCCGAAUCUCCUCCCUCCGGAAAGUGAGUCACUGCCCGAGCCACUUCUAAUUAACGUUUUAAUUAGGAGGAAAGACCCUUCUCUCCCACCAGUCACCAGGCAGACGACAGUCCCGCGGUUUCCGGAGUCUCCAGCUAAAGUUUCCUUCGCAGCUUCAGGAAGCAAAAGGAGCUGAGUCUGGAGCUUUGGGUGAGCCCCCCCACCGCCGACAGGUGGAGGACAGGAGGCUGUGACAGGUCCCUUGCAGGGCCCAGAUUCCCUGACCGUCCUGAAGACGGCCCAUACAUUUCCAGAACAGAGUGGGGCACGUCGUAGCCCCUCACCCAAUCUGUUCCUGAACCUCGCUCCACAGUUUUGGGGCGGUCACUCUACUUUAAGUCUAGCCUCAAUCCUCCAGUUUAGUUUUCUGCCUUUUCGCCCCUAGUUAUGCUACGUAGAUACAUUAUGUCUUUGCACCAAAGCGGGGAGGUGGGUCGGUGGCAACUGAGCGACGUCUUGAAAUGCCCCCCAUUCCUAUUCGCCAGAAACUUUCCCCUCCGGUUGCCAUGGAGAGAGACAGCCGCUGCCUCUUGUCGCCAUAGCAACGUGCGGGACCGCGGACCGCAGGAUUGCGGGGCUCAGAAAGUCUUCUCGCAGUUCGCAUCGCCCCGCUGUCUUGGGGUCUUCUACCUCCGAAGGUGGGACUUAGGGCAAGUGUGACUAACUUCUCCCAUCAGGAACCUCAGCCAAGGGCCUCCCACCUGCAGCCCGGUCACCCCUCUUUCCACUACGGGGUUAUCUAUUUCGCUGCCACUCUGUGGCAUGUAGCAGUUCACUGUGUGUUUUACAAACACUGUCUUUACAUCCCCAGGGAGCCCGUAAAACACUCAAAAUCAUCAUACUUCUUUUACCCAUUGGAAAACUGAGGCUCAGAGAGGCCCAAGGUCACACACACCAGGCAGUGACCACGGAGCAGGAAGCAGGGCUCUCUCCCGGCCUGGCACCCUCCGACAUUCGGGACCACCGGGCUCUGUCGCCGCGAACCGCCCGGGCCCAGGCCGGUCCCCGGGUGUAGAGGGGGCGGCCGCGAGGCGCCAGACUUGUCAGCUGCCGCGGGAUGCCACGUGAGGGGCGGGGACCCUGCGGGGAAGUGAUUAAAAGCAGAACAGAGCCGCAGGGGGCCGCUGCGGGAGGGUCUUCUCGGCCGCCUCGCCCCGCCCAGCCCCGCCGCGGAGCGGGUUCCAGUGGCUGCUCCGCAGGCCUGGUGUCUGGGGCAUGAGCGAGGUGUGGGGGGACGGGGGGCCCCGGUGCCAGGCGGCGCUCGCGGUCCUUGCCUCGCUGUGCCGGGGCCGGCCGCCCCCUCUCGGGCUGGACGUGGAGACUUGUCGGAGCUUCGAGCUGCAGCCCCCCGAGCGCAGUCCCAGCGCCGCCGACUCAGCUGUGCUGGAUGCCCUGGAGGAACAAGGAGGCCUCCAGUCCCUCCUCCGCUAACCCCACCUUGGAGGCCCUCCAGAGCCCCAGCUCCAGAGGCACCAUGGCAGACAAGCUGAAGGACCCAAGUGGCCUGGGCUUCCUGGAGGCGGCUGUGAAGAUCAGCCACACGUCCCCAGACAUCCCAGCCGAGGUGCAGAUGUCAGUGAAGGAGCACAUCAUGCGUCACACGCGGCUGCAGCGACAAACCACAGAGCCAGCGUCAUCCACCAGGCACACAUCCUUCAAGCGCCACCUGCCUCGGCAGAUGCAUGUCUCCAGCGUAGACUACGGCAAUGAGCUGCCGCCGGCAGCAGAGCAGCCCACCAGCAUUGGCCGCAUCAAGCCCGAGCUGUACAAGCAGAAGUCAGUGGACGGGGACGACGCCAAGUCCGAGGCCACCAAGAGCUGCGGGAAGAUUAACUUCAGCCUGCGUUACGACUAUGAGAGCGAGACCCUGAUCGUGCGCAUCCUGAAGGCCUUCGACCUCCCUGCCAAGGACUUCUGCGGAAGCUCUGACCCUUACGUCAAGAUCUACCUCCUGCCCGACCGCAAAUGCAAGCUGCAGACCCGGGUGCACCGCAAGACCCUGAACCCCACCUUUGACGAGAACUUCCACUUCCCCGUGCCCUAUGAGGAGCUGGCUGACCGCAAGCUGCACCUCAGCGUCUUCGACUUCGACCGCUUCUCCCGCCACGACAUGAUCGGUGAGGUCAUCCUGGACAACCUCUUUGAGGCUUCUGACCUGUCCCGGGAGACUUCCAUCUGGAAGGACAUCCAGUAUGCCACGAGUGAAAGCGUGGACUUGGGUGAGAUCAUGUUCUCCCUCUGCUACCUGCCCACAGCAGGCAGGCUCACCCUCACGGUGAUCAAAUGUCGGAACCUCAAGGCGAUGGACAUCACAGGCUACUCAGAUCCAUAUGUCAAAGUGUCCCUGCUUUGUGAUGGGCGGAGGCUGAAGAAGAAGAAAACAACCAUCAAGAAGAACACUCUCAAUCCUGUCUACAACGAGGCCAUCAUCUUUGACAUCCCCCCGGAGAACAUGGACCAAGUCAGCCUGCUCAUCUCGGUGAUGGAUUAUGACCGAGUGGGCCACAAUGAGAUCAUAGGAGUCUGCCGUGUGGGAAUCAAUGCUGAAGGCCUGGGCAGGGACCACUGGAACGAGAUGCUGGCGUACCCUCGGAAGCCCAUUGCACACUGGCACUCCUUGGUGGAGGUAAAGAAAUCCUUCAAAGAGGGAAACCCUCGGUUGUGAUUUCAUCCACGUGGAUGCUGCAAGCAGAGAGACUGCCCCCCGGAGUUAGGAUGGCAGGGCCGAGCUGCCAGCUUCGACAGUGAGAGCUCCUGUCCGUCUCCAAAACCACCUCCGACACCAUGAGCUGCACAGCCGAGUGACACAAACGGGACUCAGCGAUGUUCUUUUUACACUUGUUCAAUCAUCUAAAUGCAGUGUCGCGCAGUGGCAGUGGCAGCAGCAGCUGCCUGUCACUCCAGAGUCUUACCUACUCCUGUGUAGGUCAAGGCUGAGACACUUGUCUGUGGUCAGAUCUGUCUUAUUCUUUUCUGUCUCCCAAGGUGAUGUUUUUGUGGUUUUCACUCUUUAUGGGUCCUCUGUCAAGAAAAG